UAGGGAAUCUUCGGCAAUGGACGAAAGUCUGACCGAGCAACGCCGCGUGAGUGAAGAAGGUUUUCGGAUCGUAAAACUCUGUUGGUAGAGAAGAACAAGGACGUUAGUAACUGAACGUCCCCUGACGGUAUCUAACCAGAAAGCCACGGCUAACUACGUGCCAGCAGCCGCGGUAAUACGUAGGUGGCAAGCGUUGUCCGGAUUGAUUGGGCGUAAAGCGAGCGCAGGCGGUAUCUUAAGUCUGUUGUGAAAGCCCCCGGCUCAGCCGGGGAGGGUCAUUGGAAACUGGGAGACUUGAGUGCAGAAGAGGAGAGUGGAAUUCCAUGUGUAGCGGAGAAAUGCGUAGAUAUAUGGAGGAACACCAGUGGCGAAGGCGGCUCUCUGGUCUGUAACUGACGCUGAGGCUCGAAAGCGUGGGGAGCAAACAGG
rnacentral:rRNA from 1 species